GACGUAGGGCGCGAGCGUUGUCCGGAUUUAUUGGGCGUAAAGAGCUCGUAGGCGGCUUGUCGCGUCGUCCGUGAAAACCCACAGCUCAACUGUGGGCUUGCGGUCGAUACGGGCAGGCUAGAGUUCGGUAGGGGAGAAUGGAAUUCCUGGUGUAGCAGUGAAAUGCGUAGAUAUCAGGAGGAAUACCGAUGGCGAAGGCAGGUCUCUGGGCUGACACUGACGCUCAUGCACGAAAGCGUGGGGAGCAAACAGG
rnacentral:rRNA from 1 species